rnacentral:rRNA from 1 species
UGAACGCUGGCGGCGUGCCUAAUACAUGCAAGUAGAACGCUGAAGCUUGGUGCUUGCACCGAGCGGAUGAGUUGCGAACGGGUGAGUAACGCGUAGGUAACCUGCCUGGUAGCGGGGGAUAACUAUUGGAAACGAUAGCUAAUACCGCAUGACAACAGUUAUUGCAUGAUAACUGUUUAAAAGGGGCAACUGCUCCACUACCAGAUGGACCUGCGUUGUAUUAGCUAGUUGGUGAGGUAACGGCUCACCAAGGCGACGAUACAUAGCCGACCUGAGAGGGUGAUCGGCCACACUGGGACUGAGACACGGCCCAGACUCCUACGGGAGGCAGCAGUAGGGAAUCUUCGGCAAUGGACGGAAGUCUGACCGAGCAACGCCGCGUGAGUGAAGAAGGUUUUCGGAUCGUAAAGCUCUGUUGUAAGAGAAGAACGAGUGUGAGAGUGGAAAGUUCACACUGUGACGGUAUCUUACCAGAAAGGGACGGCUAACUAC